rnacentral:lncRNA from 1 species
GCGCCGCCCUUCGGCGUGUGGCCGAAGACCAUGGACUCGGCAGACUGCAUCAUGGCGGCGUCCCUGGGUGCGACGGGCCGGUCGGCCAAGUCUCCGCCCACCGGGAACACAUCACCGUACCUUAUGCCCGCGUCCUGUGCUUGGUAUGGCCUUCUUGGUUGUUCCUGGCUCAUUUCGCCUUGAGGUGUCCGAUCCCGUUUGAAGAUGGCAUGGUCUCACCGGCUGUGGCUUUAUAUACAGGGGAGAUGAGAUUGGGAACGUCGGCACGUCCAAGUAUAUUAUUGACACGUGUGGAGCCGUAGGUACGCGGCGGGACGUCAUGGGACGGAAACGUGGAGGAGUUUUGGGACCGGAAGGAAAUGGUGCAUGAGAUGCCGGCACGUGAAGCGGUGCACGAUAACUCGGCGGCGAUGUGGCGUGGGCGCGUCGACCGGUGCACGAUUAAUCGGUGGCGACGUGGUGUGGGACGUCUUCUCUCUCGCACAGGGCUGAUUGCGGAUGCGGGUUUCUUCUUGCAUGUAUCGGAUCUAUUCGAUCCGCUUCAAACGUGGUGAGGUAUUGUUUUGAAUUUCUCGCGAAUGUUUAUCUUUUUAUGUAUGAUGCUAGAACAUUAUUGAUAGAGCAUAUUAUGGAUCUCGCCGUAUGGACACACGAC